ACCAAACAUUUUCGGAUAGUAGUAUUGAAAAAUAUUCAACAUUCGUUGAAAAAAAAAAUUUUAUCCGUUAAGACUGAUAUUAGAUAUUAUGUUAAUUUAUUUUUUGUUUGAAAAACCAACAUUUUUAUUAUUUAUCUUUGUCUGCACAACUUUUGGUCUAGUCUAAGGAUUGAAAUGAGUGCCUCAAAUCUUCGAUGGACGACUCCAUUGGUUAUGUACAUCCUAAAAUGGCUGUUUGAUUACUAUAUCAUCAAUUUUUAACAGAAUUAUAAAUGAUUGAAUGAAUUUGACCGGUAAAGGUCAAUAAUUAAUCAUGGAAAACCCAUUUAUUAGUUGCCGACGUGAAGCCAACAUACUUUAAAAUCCCAUAUAUCGCA